AACGAACGCUGGCGGCAUGCCUAACACAUGCAAGUCGAACGAGACCUUCGGGUCUAGUGGCGCACGGGUGCGUAACGCGUGGGAACCUGCCCUUAGGUUCGGAAUAACUCCCCGAAAGGGGUGCUAAUACCGGAUAAUGUCUUCGGACCAAAGAUUUAUCGCCUUUGGAUGGGCCCGCGUUGGAUUAGCUAGUUGGUAGGGUAAAUGCCUACCAAGGCGACGAUCCAUAGCUGGUCUGAGAGGAUGAUCAGCCACACUGGGACUGAGACACGGCCCAGACUACUGCGGGAGGCAGCAGUGGGGAAUAUUGGACAAUGGGCGAAAGCCUGAUCCAGCAAUGCCGCGUGAGUGAUGAAGGCCUUAGGGUUGUAAAGCUCUUUUACCCGGGAUGAUAAUGACAGUACCGGGAGAAUAAGCUCCGGCUAACUCCGUG
rnacentral:rRNA from 1 species